ACGUUUGAGGAACAUCAUACCUUAUAAAAACGUUCCUCUAACAUCAAGAAAACUGGAUGUUUUAAGAGCCAACACUGAAUAUUUAGAGAACGUUCUUAUAACAAAAUUCUGUUAGCUGGGAAUCUCAUAUAGAAAUAAUUAAACUGUGAUUUUACUGUGAGAUCAAGUUUGAAUUCAGGUUUAAACUCAGUUAUUAUGGAUUGAUUAAAUAAAAUAAUAUAAAUAUGAAGCUCAAAUACUCAAAAGCAUUAGUUUUAUUGUGACAUUAAACAUUAAAACAAAAGUGUCUUUUUUAGUUAUUGUUCCAUAUAAAAUUUAUUUCUCUUUUGAUUCAACAUAUUUUGUCAUUGUUCUGCUGUAGAAUAUUAAUUUCACAUUUAAAUGAAUAAAAGUAUUUUAGUAAAGCUUCAUCAAACCAACAUCAAGUGAUUUUAAAGCUUUAAUCUGUGAAAAACUCUUCAGGUGUGUUUGGUAGUAAUCCUAUUUGGUCAGUGUCAGUAAACAAGGGAGAUUCAGUCACUCUAGACUCUGAUCUUACUGAAAUGAAGGAUGAUGAUGAGAUUCAGUGGAGGUUUGAAAACACUUUAAUAGCUGAAAUCAAUAAACGGGCCGACAGAUUCACUGUAUAUGAUGAUGUUCUUGAUGGGAGAUUCAGAGACAGACUGAAACUGGACAAUCAAACUGGAUCUCUGACCAUCACAAACACCACAAUGAAGCAUGAAGGAUUUUAUCAUCUAAAGAUCAACAGUCACAGAAAGAAUUUCCAACUCAGUGUCAUUGGUCGACAGAUUCACUGUAUAUGAUGAUGUUCUUGAUGGGAGAUUCAGAGACAGACUGAAACUGGACAAUCAAACUGGAUCUCUGACCAUCACAAACACCAGAACUGAACAUGUUGGAGAAUAUAAACUAAAGAUCAACCAUAUGACGAUUGAUUUCUAUCUCACUGUCAUUGUGUCGGUGAUGGAGGGAGAUUCAGUCACUCUAAACUCUGAUCUUACUGAAAUGAAGGAUGAUGAUAAGAUUCUGUGGAGGUUUGAAAACACUUUAAUAGCUGAAAUCAAUCAACAGAACAACGGAUUCACUGUAUAUGAUGAUGUUCUUGAUGGGAGAUUCAGAGACAGACUGAAACUGGACAAUCAAACUGGAUCUCUGACCAUCACAAACACCAGAACUGAACAUGAUGGACGUUAUGAACGACAGAUCAACUUUUUCAGGAGGACUUCUUUUAUUUGUCUCACUGUCUACGGAAAAUUGACAUUCUUUGUCUUAGUGAAACUUGGCACAAAGACGAUGACUAUCUUAAUUUGAACGUGUGCCCCAUCUGGAUAUACAUAUAUUGACGUGCCUCGAGCUUCCGCUCGUCUGCCUGUUCCUGUCAUCAGCAGUAACUCUUCACA